rnacentral:rRNA from 1 species
CAGUCGCCGCGGUAAGACAGAGGUCCCGAGCGUUGUUCGGAUUCAUUGGGCGUAAAGGGUGUGUAGGAGGCCAGGUAAGUCAGGUGUGAAAUCUCAGAGCUUAACUCUGAAACUGCGCUUGAUACUGCUUGGCUAGAGGAUCGGAGGGGGUAACGGAAUUUACGGUGUAGCAGUGAAAUGCGUAGAUAUCAUAAGGAACACCGGUGGCGAAGGCGGUUACCUGGAAGAUUCCUGACUCUGAAACACGAAAGCCAGGGGAGCAAACGGGAUUAGAUACCCCAGUAGUCCCUGUCUCUUAUAC